CAAGAGUCUCAUUGGCUGCUGUCCUGUCCGCAUUGGGCUGUCUGAAAAAAGAAGAAGCAAUAACUGGCCCUGCGGUUUCAAGGCGUCCCAGGGUUAGAUGAUGAAAGGAGAUAAGACGAGACUGUUUCAAGGCGCUCCAUACUCGGACCCCAUUCGCCCUCGAGCCAUAUGAGUCAAGCGUGAAUCAAAGGGAAUACGGCGGGCAGGAAGAGGGGAAGUUAAACAUUAUAUAUAUUUUUAAAUGAGGUUAUAUUUCGGAUAAAUGCGAUGCAACGAUGGUUUAGCAGUAAACGUUUUGAGACAACCGCCGCGAAUCACCAGAUGAUUGGAAUACAGCGAGUAGAUAUAGCGUCUCAUAGAGAAAGAAGUGAAACAGCGAGCCCGGAGUCCCUCCUCUCGGAGUUUCAAUGGAGAAAAUGUAAAUGGACCCUUUCACCAAUAGGCCUAUUUAACAACUAGAAAUGUUGUGGCUGCUUGAGGUUUGUCGUAUAUAGUGUUAAACAAAUAGCUGUGCUUGCGAAAAUACCGCUUGUUAUCUUCUGUAGAAAUAAUAUUUGGAUGAUCACCACGUAGUUAACAUUAAAAAGUAGUUUGCAAUAGACUUCAAUAGAUCAGUCGCUGUAAAAUGAGAGUAGUAUCUAUAGCCAAAGCCUACACUCCGCGAUCAUUGAAAUCUGUUGGGAUAAUUUGUCUGAAAGAAAACCAGUAGCCUAUGCGAGGGAAAGGCAUAGUCUGCAACUGUAGACUCUGAAAAUGUAAAAUAUAUACGAUUGUGUAAAAUUGUGUGACUACUGCAAUAAAAUGUGUUUGUACAUACUGUAAAAUAAUCAAACAGGAGCAAAUAUGUUGUGUUUACGUGAGAUAGCUUUAUUUACACGAGACAAUAUCUACGCUAUAAAUAGAACAAAAUGUACAUUACAUUUAAUGAUGCACUGUAUCUUACUGGAAGAAUAUACAUUUCCAUAAUUAAGAGUCAUCUAAUUUAUCAAAGAGACAUUUAGAUGUUUUGUAUAGUUAUGGAGGAAUCAUAUACAUAGAAU
rnacentral:lncRNA from 1 species